rnacentral:rRNA from 1 species
AGCCUUUAGCACCUUAAGUAUUAAAGGUCCUGCCUGCCCAGUGAAACUAUUUUAACGGCCGCGGUAUUCUAACCGUGCAAAGGUAGCGUAAUCAUUUGUCUUCUAAAUAAAGACCAGUAUGAACGGCUAAAUGAGAACAAGCCUGUCUCCUAUGACCCAUCAGUGAAACUGAUCUUUCAGUCCAAAAGCUGAAAUAUAAACACAAGACGAGAAGACCCUGUGGAGCUUAAAGCAACCUACUAAUUAAAUACUAGUAAAAACUUUAAGUUGGGGCGACUUCGGAACAAAUAAAAACUUCCGAGCACAUGAACCACCACUUCCAACCAAGGCUAACAAGCCAAAGCAAAAAAUGACCCAGUCUCACUGAUCAACGAACCAAGUUACCCCAGGGAUAACAGCGCUAUCUUCUUCAAGAGUCCAUAUCGACAAGAAGGUUUACGACCUCGAUGUUGGAUCAGGACACCCAAAUGGUGCAGCCGCUAUUAAAGGUUCGUUUGUUCAACGAUUAACAGUCCU